AGUCUUCUAGCCUUCGCUGAUGGGUUCUGCAUAUGAGUUCAGGCAUGCCUUCAGGACUCCACCAGGCACUUGGUAAUUCUGCCUUAUCCUUCACUUUUUGCUUGAGCAGCGCCGAAAGGAGGGAAAUUUGGACAUGGACACAUAGGGAAGACAGCCAUGUGGAGACAGAGGCAGAGGUGGACCUGCUGCCGCAAAACCACAGGGCGCCAAGUACUGUGGGCCACUGAGAAAACUAAAGGAGAGGAAGGAUUCUUCCCUGGAGCUUUGGAGAGGGUGCGGCCCUACUUUCACCUGGAUUUCAGACUUCAGACUUCCAGAACCAUGAAGGAAUAAGCUCUCUUUGUUUCAAAACCACUCAGUCAAGGCACUUUGUUACAACAGCCUAGGAAACUAAUACAGGAAUUGGUAUUAGUAAAAUCAUUAUUGUUGGCUCAUAUGACCAUACUCAUAGAACUUUUAAGAUAAUAUGUAAAUAAGCAACUAAAACAAAAAGUCAGAAAGCUUUAUGGUGCCAGAUCAAUAUACAAAUAAAUA
rnacentral:lncRNA from 1 species